GACGAACGCUGGCGGCGUGCCUAACACAUGCAAGUCGAGCGGAGUCGAUCGACGGAAGCCUUCGGGCGGAAGAUGGUUGACUUAGCGGCGGAUGGGUGAGUAACGCGUGGGCAACCUGCCUCGAAGACCGGGAUAACAGCCCGAAAGGGCUGCUAAUACCGGAUGUGGUCAAGGAUCCGCAUGGAUUUUUGAUUAAAGGGGAAACCCGUUUCGAGAUGGGCCCGCGUCCUAUCAGCUAGUUGGUGAGGUAAAAGCUCACCAAGGCGACGACGGGUAGCCGGCCUGAGAGGGUGACCGGCCACACUGGAACUGAGACACGGUCCAGACUCCUACGGGGGCAGCAGUGGGGAAUCUUCCACAAUGGGCGAAAGCCUGAUGGAGCGACGCCGCGUGAGCGAAGAAGGCCUCGGUUGUAAGCUCUGUCUGGAGGGACGGAAGGAAGUGACGGUACCUCCGGAGGAAGCCACGGCUAACUACGUGCCAGCAGCCGCGGUAAAGUAACUCUAU
rnacentral:rRNA from 1 species